AACGAACGCUGGCGGCAUGCCUAACACAUGCAAGUCGAACGAGACCUUCGGGUCUAGUGGCGCACGGGUGCGUAACGCGUGGGAACCUGCCCUUAGGUUCGGAAUAACUCCCCGAAAGGGGUGCUAAUACCGGAUAAUGUCUUCGGACCAAGGAUUUAUCGCCUUUGGAUGGGCCCGCGUUGGAUUAGCUAGUUGGUAGGGUAAAAGCCUACCAAGGCGACGAUCCAUAGCUGGUCUGAGAGGAUGAUCAGCCACACUGGGACUGAGACACGGCCCAGACUCCUACGGGAGGCAGCAGUGGGGAAUAGUGGACAAUGGGCGAAAGCCUGAUCCAGCAAUGCCGCGUGAGUGAUGAAGGCCUUAGGGUUGUAAAGCUCUUUUACCCGGGAUGAUAAUGACAGUACCGGGAGAAUAAGCCCCGGCUAACUCCGUG
rnacentral:rRNA from 1 species